GGCUGGAUUUCCUCCCCAUACCUGUUCAUGAAAAAGCAACAUCAGUUACAUUUAUUAGCAAUGUAAAGGUAAAUCAAUUGUCUACCAUAGUUCACCAUCCCAAUAAAUGGAAGUGCACUAUGCUGACAAGCUGAAACGAUGGCAGAGAAUGUUGAAACAAACUCAAAAUGGAUUUUACCUAGGAACUUACGUCUAUUUGAAUCUUAAGUCAUCUUUGCCUAUUCGUCACAGUUAUUUAUAGUGUACAUAAACCAGUGUUGUCAAAGGCGAAAAGCUCUCCAAGUCUAUUGGGGCUUUAAGCGCAAAACAAUUCAAGUGUGGGCUUUAGUUAUAUAUAAAAAAAAUAAAAAAACGUACGGUAAAAAAAAAGCGUAAUUCAAGAAAAAAGUAACAAAUUCAUCCAUAAUGCUUUCCUUAACAACUAAUACACUUAUUUGCAGGUUGUAUUUGUUGUUUAGUACCGCUCGAUUCAAGAUAGAACUCAUGUUCAAUGUGAGGCACACACCUCAGUGCCUUGCCUACACCGAAGCACAAUUUAGGCGAGGUGAAGCACAGUCCCUGAGCUUCAGGGCUUAAGCGUGCUCAAAUGAGCCUUGGACAAUACUAAUUUAAACCUGCAAAGCGAGGGGUUGCUUCAGGGUGAAACCGUAUGCUUUAGAGAAGUGUGUCAAACAAUGACGUGCAAGGUGAUCCCAACAGGAGCUUGUCAGUUAUUUAGAUCCUUUGAGAGUUGUAUAAUUCAUGACUACCCACUGCAUCCAAUUUUUUAAAGGGAAAAGCGCAAAAACUGACAAAGUCAUGAGCCUAGAAGCAAGAAGCAAAAAGUGAUGUGAACAAUCUACAAUAACUUAGCACUAUAAUAGUCAACUUUCACUUGAAAUAGCUAAUUUUCAUCAUCCAAUAUACCACAAUGCCGAUA
rnacentral:lncRNA from 1 species